rnacentral:rRNA from 1 species
AAUACGUAGGGGGCCAGCGUUGUCCGGAAUCAUUGGGCGUAAAGAGCGUGUAGGCGGCCAUGUAGGUCCGAUGUGAAAACUCGAGGCUCAACCUCGAGCUGUCAUUGGAAACCAUGUGGCUAGAGUCCGGAAGAGGAGAGUGGAAUUCCUGGUGUAGCGGUGAAAUGCGCAGAUAUCAGGAAGAACACCUAUGGCGAAGGCAGCUCUCUGGGACGGUACUGACGCUGAGACGCGAAAGCGUGGGGAGCGAACAGGA